rnacentral:sRNA from 1 species
GCUGGGUGCGGUGGUGCAUGCCUGUAAUUCCAGUGACUCUGGAGGCUGAGGCAGGAGGAUUGCAAUUUCAAAGCUAGCCUCAGCAACUUAGUGAGACCCUGUCUCAA